rnacentral:rRNA from 1 species
UAGUAACGGCGAGUGAAGCGGCAACAGCUCAAAUUUGAAAUCUGGCUUUCGGGCCCGAGUUGUAAUUUGUAGAGGAUACUUUUGAUGCGGUGCCUUCCGAGUUCCCUGGAACGGGACGCCAUAGAGGGUGAGAGCCCCGUCUGGUUGGAUGCCAAAUCUCUGUAAAGUUCCUUCGACGAGUCGAGUAGUUUGGGAAUGCUGCUCUAAAUGGGAGGUAUAUGUCUUCUAAAGCUAAAUAUUGGCCAGAGACCGAUAGCGCACAAGUAGAGUGAUCGAAAGAUGAAAAGCACUUUGAAAAGAGAGUUAAAAAGUACGUGAAAUUGUUGAAAGGGAAGCGUUUAUGACCAGACUUGGACUUGGUUAAUCAUCUGGGGUUCUCCCCAGUGCACUUUUCCAGUUCAGGCCAGCAUCAGUUUUCGCCGGGGGAUAAAGGCAGCGGGAAUGUGGCUCUCUUCGGGGAGUGUUAUAGCCCGUUGUGUAAUACCCUGGUGGGGACUGAGGUUCGCGCUUCUGCAAGGAUGCUGGCGUAAUGGUCAUCAACGACCCGUCUUGAAACACGGACCAAGGAGUCGUCUUCGUAUGCGAGUGUUCGGGUGUCAAACCCCUACGCGUAAUGAAAGUGAACGCAGGUGAGAGCUUCGGCGCAUCAUCGACCGAUCCUGAUGUUCUCGGAUGGAUUUGAGUAAGAGCAUACGGGGCCGGACCCGAAAGAAGGUGAACUAUGCCUGUAUAGGGUGAAGCCAGAGGAAACUCUGGUGGAGGCUCGCAGCGGUUCUGACGUGCAAAUCGAUC